GACCAUCCAAUCGGUUUGCAGAGUUCCUACUUAAAAUAGGAACCUGUGUUAGAACAGUUGACCAACUUAUUGAUAACGUGUAUCCAGAUAUUAUUAAUUUGCACCACAAGGACUCUAAGUGGUUAUAUGAGCGAGCUAUAAUUACUUCGACGAAUUCCGCUGCAGACGAAAUUAACAAAGCCGUUUGUCAAAGAAUAUUAU